UGGGGAAUUGUUCGCAAUGGGCGCAAGCCUGACGACGCAACGCCGCGUGGAGGAUGAAGGUCUUCGGAUCGUAAACUCCUGUUGCCCGGGACGAAUGGCUUCGACCUAAUACGUCGGAGUAUGACGGUACCGGGUGAGGAAGCCCCGGCUAACUCUGUGCCAGCAGCCGCGGUAAUACAGAGGGGGCAAGCGUUGUUCGGAAUUACUGGGCGUAAAGGGCGCGUAGGCGGCCUGUUAAGUCGAACGUGAAAUCCCUGGGCUCAACCCAGGAACUGCGUCCGAUACUGGCUGGCUUGAAUCCGGGAGAGGGAUGCGGAAUUCCAGGUGUAGCGGUGAAAUGCGUAGAUAUCUGGAGGAACACCGGUGGCGAAGGCGGCAUCCUGGACCGGUAUUGACGCUGAGGCGCGAAAGCCAGGGGAGCAAACGGGAUUAGAUACCCGCGUAGUCCCUGAGCGGGCUGGCAAGGCGCAU
rnacentral:rRNA from 1 species